ensembl:lncRNA
AAUUCACUGGCAAACCAGCCGCGUGGUCUCACCCAACCACAAGACCAGGGAGCAGAAUCUUACCGUGUGCCCAGAAGACAGAGAACUAGGACCAUUUAGAGCAGGGCUCCCCGGCCUCCAGGACCUAACGCCUGAUGAGCUGAGAUGGAGUUGAUGUAACAGUAACAGAAAUAAAGUGCACAGGCAGGCUGAAACUCCAGGACUGGGCAGCCUGGGGCAAUCAUCUCCUCUAUCUCUCUGACUCAUGGGCAGCAAUGGGAGAUCAUGCAGGAAGAACAGGACUGGACGAGUGAGGCAAAGGAGGCAGCUGACUUGGCAUCAACCUGAAGGGAGCGCCAAGUGAGUCGGUGAUCGAGAUACCUUAAUGCAGCAUUUUAGAAAAUCAAAAUUAUUGCAAAAAAAAAAAAAAUCUAUGAUGAACAAAUUAGCAAAUCCUCAAAUAAAGACAGAAUCUGUUCUCCGGAUCUUUCCAUCCGCCUCGGGCUCCAGGAGGGCUCACAGGGCAGUUCUGUAUCUCACCAGUCUGGCCCCGAGGAGAGCCCCGGAGCUGACCCAGGGGCACUGGCCACAUCAGCCAGGGGCCGGGCGGCACGAGGACCUGGGGUCCAGAAGCAGGUCAUCACCAAGAAUUCCAUGGCCCUGAGGAAAACGGCAAACUCCAGUGCCAACUGUGACUCCUUCAACCCCGGGGGAGAAGACUGGCUCACGCACGUUUCUCUGCCGUGAUGGAGGUGGGCACUGGGCUGGGAACCCACCCUGCCCUCAAGGGGCCACCAUCUUUGAGCUGAGGCCCAUAUGGACAGGAACGAGGGAUUAUGGGAUUCUCUGGUUGGACUUCAAAGGAAAACAGUGACGCCAGGGGAGACUAGAGCUCAGCUUCAGAGCAGUGAAUCAGGUGAAACAGGCCUGGCUGCUCCUGGGUGUUCUUUCCCCACACAGCCAAGGAUGCAACUUCCCACCUCUAGAUUCCUGAGCAACGUGACAGGACGCCCCCCGAGGAUGUCUCCCACCCUGAGAUGCUGGGGUCCCUCCACAGACAUGUCAUCACACCAAGUUGACACCCGGGGCUUGGCAUCCUCCGCCUCGCCCACAGAAGCCCAGCUGGGGUGAUGGGGUUUAUCUCCAAGGCAAACAGAGCCACCCCCAUUAUCCAUGACUGGCUGUGUUUACUGAUGACAUC